GCCGGGUGUGGUGGCGCACGCCUGUAAUCCCAGCUACUCGGGAGGCUGAGGCAGGAGAAUCGCUUAAGCCUGGGAGGUAGAGGUUGCAGUGAGCCGAGAUCACACCACUGCACUCCAGCCUGGGCAAUAAGAGCGAAAUCCUGUCUCAG
rnacentral:SRP_RNA from 1 species